AUUGAACGCUGGCGGCAUGCCUUACACAUGCAAGUCGAACGGUAACGGGCCUUCGGGUGCCGACGAGUGGCGAACGGGUGAGUAAUGUAUCGGAACGUACCUUUCAGUGGGGGAUAGCGUAGCGAAAGUUACGCUAAUACCGCAUAUUCUGUGCGCAGGAAAGCAGGGGAUCGCAAGACCUUGCGCUGAUUGAGCGGCCGAUAUCAGAUUAGCUAGUUGGUGAGGUAAAGGCUCACCAAGGCGACGAUCUGUAGCGGGUCUGAGAGGAUGAUCCGCCACACUGGAACUGAGACACGGUCCAGACUCCUACGGGAGGCAGCAGUGGGGAAUUUUGGACAAUGGGGGCAACCCUGAUCCAGCCAUGCCGCGUGAGUGAAGAAGGCCUUCGGGUUGUAAAACUCUUUCGGCCGGGAAGAAAUCGUAUCAGCUAAUACCUGGUGCGGAUGACGGUACCGGCAUAAGAAGCACCGGCUAACUACGUGCCAGCCGCCGCGGUAACAC
rnacentral:rRNA from 1 species